rnacentral:lncRNA from 1 species
GUCCACUCUCCUCAAGGCUAGCAUCAGAACCAGUAGAGAGGAGGUCCACUCUCCUCAAGGCUAGCAUCAGAACCAGUAGAGAGGAGGUCCACUCUCCUCAAGGCUAGCAUAAGAACCAGUAGAGAGUAGGUCCACUCUCCUCAAGACUAGCAUGAGAACCAGUAGAGAGUAGGACCACUCUCCUCAAGGCUAGCAUCAGAACCAGUAGAGAGUAGGUCCACUCUCCUCAAGGCUAACAUCAGAACCAGUAGAGAGUAGGACCACUCUCCUCAAGGCUAGCAUCAGAACCAGUAGAGAGUAGGACCACUCUCCUCAAGGCUAGCAUCAGAACCAGUAGAGAGUAGGUCCACUCUCCUCAAGGCUAGCAUCAGAACCAGUAGAGAGUAGGUCCACUCUCCUCAAGGCUAGCAUCAGAACCAGUAGAGAGUAGGUCCACUCUCCUCAAGGCUAGCAUCAGAACCAGUAGAGAGUAGGUCCACUCUCCUCAAGGCUAACAUCAGAACCAGUAGAGAGUAGGACCACUCUCCUCAAGACUAGCAUCAGAACCAGUAGAGAGUAGGUCCACUCUCCUCAAGGC